UACGAACUGUGCGAACGUUAUUCGGAAUCACUGGGCUUACAGGGUGCGUAGGCGGCUUGUUAAGUAGGGUGUGAAAGCCCCCGGCUCAACCGGGGAAUUGCGCCCUAAACUGGCGAGCUGGAGUGAGAUAGGGGUGUGUGGAACUUCCGGUGGAGCGGUGAAAUGUGUUGAUAUCGGAAGGAACGCCGGUGGCGAAAGCGACACACUGGAGUCUUGUCUGACGCUGAGGCACGAAAGCCAGGGGAGCGAACGGG
rnacentral:rRNA from 1 species